CAAUUAUCGCUUGUGAUGGAUUAUAGGGGCGUCCGUUGUGCACCUCCCUCAAGGGCUUCCGGUCUUGCCAUGUAGGAUUCAGCUGAUGUGUGAAGGUGAAUGAAAUAGACCGGAGGCUCUUUAGGGGGGCGGACAAAUCUCGCCCCACCAACGUAGCAUGUUGGAGUUGAAGCUUGUGGGGUAUGUAGCCACGUGGACUUGUCAUGCUUUCAUGCCGUGGACCGUCUUUUGUAGUUCAAGUAGAGGACUGCAAUUCAUUGCAUGCAGCUUGCAGAGAGAAAUGAGGAAUGAUCACCUACGGGCGCUGUAAAUGUGAAAUGCAUGCGAGAAAAGAGAUGGUCCUGAAAAUGAAAAUCAACUGGCAUGAAUAUCAGACAGACCCACUUGUUAAGUGCCAUAACCGUACAUUGAGUCAGAUCAUCAGCCGUCAAUUGGUUUCGUCAAUGUGGCUUGCUCGAUUAGUGGUUCAGCUUGAUUUUCAACACAGAUGAUCUUCACGGAGUGGCCAACCUUUUCUACGCGCAGAUUUCUGAUAGAAGUGGCACGUGGCAGUAAAGAAAGGGUUGUAUGUGAAAGUUCGCAUGCAGUACAUAUGCAACGCGUCAUUUCUCAUUUGUAAAUGUAUAAGCUCGUUUGUGGAAGAUAAUAUAAACUAAAAACAAUGUUUUUUA